rnacentral:rRNA from 1 species
UACGUAGGGUGCGAGCGUUGUCCGGAAUUAUUGGGCGUAAAGGGCUCGUAGGCGGUCUGUCGCGUCGGGAGUGAAAACUCAGGGCUUAACCCUGAGCCUGCUUCCGAUACGGGCAGACUAGAGGUAUGCAGGGGAGAACGGAAUUCCUGGUGUAGCGGUGGAAUGCGCAGAUAUCAGGAGGAACACUGGUGGCGAAGGCGGUUCUCUGGGACGGUACUGACGCUGAGACGCGAAAGCGUGGGGAGCGAACAGG